GCGAUAGUAGCUCAAUCGGCAGAGCGUUGGUUUCCCAAGCCAAAGGUUGCGAGUUCGAGCCUCGUUUAUCGCC
rnacentral:tRNA from 1 species